UCUCUGUGUUUUACAGCGGUGAAUAGCGGCUACAAUGCCACCAAGACCUCGGAGCGCGGGGAAAACUCAUCAAACUCGUCUGCUCCAGCCUGAGGGCCGCCGUGUGCCGCCGCCGCCGCCGGUACAGGAGCGUCGGUGGAGAGCGGGACAAGUUGGCGGGGUUUCUGCUGUGUGGGGGGGGGGUGUAAUGGUGGGGUGGGGGGGUGAGCAAUGAGCGCAUCUACAGCUGAUUUAGUGAUUUGGACUUUGCGCUUCGCUCUGUGGGUCGCUGCUAAUUUACUGACUGCACUGGGGGGGGGGGGGGGGGAGGGGCUGCUGCCCAUAAUGUUCCUGCAAUGACGGGGUUCAGGGGGGGAACAGUCCCGAUCAACAUCUGGUGGGAAUGAAUCACAGCUGGAGCGUUGCAGCGCUGGUUGACCCGAGACCCGGAGACGGAGUGGAUGGUUCCUGGCCUUGUGACGUCACAUCCACCCGUGGACUGUGUGGGGGGGGGGGGGGGUUGAUCAGGGAAUGUGAUUAUUUGCUGGGGGGGGGCAUGUUCUGCUUCACUGUCGCUACAUAAAUGUUCAAUAAA